rnacentral:siRNA from 1 species
AACUGUACAGCCACACUCCUCAAC